GACGAACGCUGGCGGCGUGCUUAACACAUGCAAGUCGAACGGGAUUUAGUAGACAGAAACCUCGGUGGAAGAUUACUAAUGAGAGUGGCGAACGGGUGAGUAACGCGUGAGCAACCUGCCUAUGACAGUGGGAUAGCCUCGGGAAACCGGGAUUAAUACCGCAUAAAAUCGUAGAAACACAUGUUUUAACGGUCAAAGAUUUAUCGGUCAUAGAUGGGCUCGCGUCUGAUUAGCUAGUUGGUGAGAUAACAGCCCACCAAGGCGAUGAUGGGUAGCCGGCCUGAGAGGGUGAUCGGCCACAAGGGGACUGAGACACGGCCCUUACUCCUACGGGAGGCAGCAGUGGGGAAUAUUGGACAAUGGACCGAGAGUCUGAUCCAGCAAUUCUGUGUGCACGAUGAAGUUUUUCGGAAUGUAAAGUGCUUUCAGUUGGGAAGAAAGAAAUGACGGUACCAACAGAAGAAGUGACGGCUAAAUACGUGCCAGCAGCCGCGGUAAUACGUAUGUCACGAGCGUUAUCCGGAUUUAUUGGGCGUAAAGCGCGUCUAGGUGGUUAUAUAAGUCUGAUGUGAAAAUGCAGGGCUCAACUCUGUAUUGCGUUGGAAACUGUAUAACUAGAGUACUGGAGAGGUAAGCGGAACUACAAGUGUAGAGGUGAAAUUCGUAGAUAUUUGUAGGAAUGCCGAUGGGGAAGCCAGCUUACUGGACAGAUACUGACGCUGAAGCGCGAAAGCGUGGGUAGCAAACAGG
rnacentral:rRNA from 1 species